GAUGAACGCUGGCGGCGUGCCUAAUACAUGCAAGUCGAGCGAACAGACGAGGAGCUUGCUCCUCUGACGUUGGCGGCGGACGGGUGAGUAACACGUGGAUAACCUACCUAUAAGACUGGGAUAACUUCGGGAAACCGGAGCUAAUACCGGAUAAUAUAUUGAACCGCAUGGUUCAAUAGUGAAAGACGGUUUUGCUGUCACUUAUAGAUGGAUCCGCGCCGCAUUAGCUAGUUGGUAAGGUAACGGCUUACCAAGGCAACGAUGCGUAGCCGACCUGAGAGGGUGAUCGGCCACACUGGAACUGAGACACGGUCCAGACUCCUACGGGAGGCAGCAGUAGGGAAUCUUCCGCAAUGGGCGAAAGCCUGACGGAGCAACGCCGCGUGAGUGAUGAAGGUCUUCGGAUCGUAAAACUCUGUUAGUAGGGAAGAACAAAUGUGUAAGUAACUAUGCACGUCUUGACGGUACCUAAUCAGAAAGCCACGGCUAACUACGUG
rnacentral:rRNA from 1 species